AUAAAUGCCGGGGCCCUAUAUAUACGGGAGAAGAACCCAUCAUUUUCACGCUCACCUCUAGUGAAUUUCCAAUGUACUGCUUUCCAGUUCUUAAUUUUUCCAGCAAAGUUUCCUGUCAUGACAACCGCUUCAAUCUUUUUUCGAUUAUCUUCUUUGCUCGCCGCCUAAAAAUGGAUAAUUCCGAUGAUCACAGAAUUGUUAAAGCAUUGCCUGAUGACAACGAGAGGAUCGAACUAAUUUACCGAUCAGGAUCCAAAAUGACUACCGUGUUGAUCUCCAAUCGGCUUACUGAUAUGAUCUGCGGACUGAUCUCAAAUAAGGGGA
rnacentral:misc_RNA from 1 species